rnacentral:tRNA from 2 species
GGUGGUGUUCCCGAGCGGCCAAAGGGAGCAGACUGUAAAUCUGCCGUCAUCGACUUCGAAGGUUCGAAUCCUUCCCCCACCACCA